GGAUCAAUGAUGAUAACCCAAAAAACAUUCCUUGGAAAAGCUGAACAAAAUGAGAGAACUGCAAACCGUCGUUCUCAUCAUGACUGAGGUCC
ensembl:snoRNA SNORD116 Small nucleolar RNA SNORD116